rnacentral:rRNA from 1 species
ACUCAAAGGAAUUGACGGGGACCCACACAAGCGGUGGAGCAUGUGGUUUAAUUCGACAAUAAACGGGGAACCUUACCAAGGCUUGACAUCUCCGGAACCCACCAGAAAUGGAGGGGUGCCGUAAGGAACCGGAUGACAGGUGCUGCAUGGUCGUCGUCAGCUCGUGCCUUGAGGUGUUCGGUUAAGUCCGUAAACGAGCGCAACCCAUGUCUUAUGUUGUAUAUUUCAUAAGAGACUGCCGGCUCCAAGUCGGAGGAAGGUAUGGAUGACGUCAGAUCAGCAUGGCCCUUAUGCCUUGGGCCACACACGUGCUACAAUGGCCGGUACAAUGAGCAGCCAACUCGUAAGAGGGAGCCAAUCUCAUCAAAGCCGGUCUCAGUUCGGAUUGGGGGCUGAAAUUCGACCCCAUGAAGUUGGAAUCGCUAGUAACCGCAAAUCAGACAUGUUGCGGUGAAUAUGUUCCUGGGUCUUGUACACACCGCCCGU